UACGUAGGGUGCAAGCGUUAAUCGGAAUUACUGGGCGUAAAGCGUGCGCAGGCGGUUUUGUAAGCCAGAUGUGAAAUCCCCGGGCUUAACCUGGGAAUGGCAUUUGGGACUGCAAGGCUUGAGUGCGGCAGAGGAGACUGGAAUUCCUGGUGUAGCAGUGAAAUGCGUAGAUAUCAGGAGGAACACCGAUGGCGAAGGCAGAUCUCUGGGCCGUAACUGACGCUGAGGAGCGAAAGCAUGGGGAGCGAACAGG
rnacentral:rRNA from 1 species